AGCAGGCCGGCGGGAGCGGGGUCUGGCGGGGCCGGGUUCCGGCGCACACGGCGCUGCCGUUCUUGCAGCGCCCCCUGGCGGCAUGUUGCGGGCGCAUCGCGGCCUGCGAGCCUCAGCGCCAGCGGCGGGAGGAGGCGAGUCUCGGGCCGCGCCUGCCGGCGGCGGGGCGCGGGCUCAGCGAGAGGCCGUAGGAGGCUGCAUCAGGCAGCGGAUGAGGCGCGCGCGACUGGGGCCGGCGGCUCGGUUUGGUGUUCUGAGGUAUCUACAGGGCUUCAGAUAUUUAACAGAACAUCUACUGUUUGGAGAACUAAAUCUACUAGUCAGAGCUGAGGUGUCGAA
rnacentral:lncRNA from 1 species